rnacentral:rRNA from 1 species
GUUGAACGCUGGCGGCGGGCCUAACACAUGCAAGUCGAGCGGAUGAAGGGAGCUUGCUCCUGGCUUCAGCUGCGGACGGGUGAGUAAUGCCUAGGUAUCUGCCUGAUCGUGGGGGAUAACGUCAGUUAACGGGCGCUGAUACCGCAUACGUCCUGAGUGUGAACGGGGUGGUUCUUCGGACCUCGCGCUUCCUGAUGAGCCUAGGUCGGAUUAGCUAGUUGGUGGGGUAAAGGCCUACCAAGGCGACGAUCCGUAACUGGUCUGAGAGGCUGAUCAGUCACACUGGAACUGAGACACGGUCCAGACUCCUACGGGAGGCAGCAGUGGGGAAUAUUGGGCAAUGGGCGAAAGCCUGAUCCAGCAAUGCCGCGUGUGUGAAGAAGGUCUUCGGAUUGUAAAGCACUUUAAGUUGGGAGGAAGGGCAGUAAGUUAAUACCUGGCUGUUUUGACGUUACCAACAGAAUAAGCACCGGCUAACUUCGUG